UACGUAGGUGGCAAGCGUUGUCCGGAAUUAUUGGGCGUAAAGCGCGCGCAGGCGGUCCUUUAAGUCUGAUGUGAAAGCCCACGGCUCAACCGUGGAGGGUCAUUGGAAACUGGGGGACUUGAGUACAGAAGAGAAGAGUAGAAUUCCACGUGUAGCGGUGAAAUGCGUAGAGAUGUGGAGGAACACCAGUGGCGAAGGCGACUCUUUGGUCUGUAACUGACGCUGAGGCGCGAAAGCGUGGGGAGCAAACAGG
rnacentral:rRNA from 1 species